GUUGUAUAUAAAAGUCUUUAAAGAGUUCUGGUGCAUGUGUAUACGCAUCACUCGCUGCUGAAUAUUCGACCUGAUAGAAACAAAUUAAUUAACGAUGACUUACCCGGGAACCCACUUGAAGAAGCAACGUACAGAGCCAUCGAUCCUCACCUUGGUCGUACUGAAUUAAUGAUAACUUGAUGCGAUGCGAUGAUCCGCAUGAUCGUACCUGAUCCGACUGGAUGUAUUCGACCACAUGCAGCACC